CUGGGAGCCCUCUCUCAUCUCUGACAGAUAACUGUGGGGUUUACUUCUCUCACCAGACAUUCCCAGCAAAGCACAGCUGAGGCGCCAUUGGCUUUGUGAGUUUGGAUUCCCCAUCAUCCAUUCCUCACAAGCUUCUUUCUGGGCCUACCGUGAGUCUUCAGCCUGUACCUGUCUGGAGUUCACUUGAGGGUGGAGUCUCUCUUCUCUCUCGGGAUCCCCCUUCAUUAUUUCUGGUGUCUCCCUCCGCUCUCAUACUUCAUUAAUCACUUUGGAAUUCUACAUAAUAAAUGGCCAGCUUGCUUCAGAAGAUGGAGAUGUGGAUCUGCGCAUGUACGGAACAGUGACGGUCCACACUGGAGGGAGAAAGCUGCCUCAGAGCUUGGACCUCAGUGGUCAAGAAUUUCUCAUCCACUCAUGGAGGUAAAAUCUGCUUUGAGGAUCAAGAGAGAUAAUACACCUUAACGUGUUUGGGGUAAGUAUAAAGCACUUUCUAAAUAGAAGGCAUUAUUAAAAGACAUCUCACUUGUAAUUUCUGCUUCCACUAACAUGGAGUCCCUCAUUUUUAGAUUCCUGUGAUAGAUGGUGUGAGAUAUGUGUUGGAGGUGAGCUCAGGUCUGGUCCCUGAUGAGACUCCACCUCAGGAUAUAAGUACCUGACUGACUCUGCCUGGGAUUCUCCAAGACAGUUCCCCAACUCGUUUCCCUUCCAACACGUUAACACACACACACACACACACACACACACACACACACACACACACACACACCAAUCCACACAUGCUCAAUGGCUUCUGGAGGAGAGAAAAGACAUGUGUUUAGCUGGUUGUGGUGGCACAUUUGUAACCCCAGCACUCAGUAGGUAGAGGAAGGCAGGAGGAUCAGGAGUUCAAAGUCAUCCUCCGUGACAUAACAUGUUGACUUCUAGCCUGUCUCAGAAGAAAACCCAAACCCAAAUAAACCGAAAUUAGGUCAAAGCACAACAACCCCUCCCUAUCGUAUAUUACUGAGUGCCUCUGUAUAUAAAUGUCCUAGAAACCAGGACAAAAUAGAUAAGCGAGAUAGUCACAACUGUCUGCAACUGUCUGUUCCAGGGGAGCCCUUGAGUGUUUUAUGACCUAUUGGUUCUGAGAGGACAGAACUGGAUGGCAGGCAAGCACUGACUUCGGUUCUUACUUUCGAAGGAAAUUUUAUGUGUGGGUUUUAAUUAAAAAGGGCAUAUCUGCAUAUUUUAAGUCCUGAGUACAACCAAAGCCAUUGCUAGCCCUUGUUCAUAUUUCUGUACUAAGAGACUGAACUGUGAUAGGGUUCUGGAGGCAGAGUGUGUUUUCAGAUGAAGGUCUGUGGGAUCCCAUAUUUCUUUGCGCCAGUGAAGCUAUGGAUCAGCAAGGAUUUGUGGCUGCUCUGACUGGUGUGUUCCCACCAGUCUGGCUUAGAGGGAGGAUUUGCUUUAAUGGGGGCUAUGUCUUUAGGAGAAGAGUGAUCCCCAGUCUAGUUACAACGCUCGGUAUAUCUAUCUGGGCCUCAGCUUUGCAGGCAGGUUGGAGCCUUCCACAUCUUCAGGCUCUGGCUCAGGGUUCGAGAUGCUGCCACAAGCCACCCUGACAGCAAGGAAAACAGAUGCAGAGACACUCAGGCUUCACCCAGGGGAGAGACCAAUUGCAGGAGUGCUAGACCACAUUUGUGAAUCAGCCAGGCUUCACCCAGCUCCCAAAAGGCAGACAACUGCUGUAAGUCCUGAACACAGUUUCCCCUUGGAGCCAUGCUGAUUUCUUGCUGACUUAUCUCCUCUAUCGGACUGCCUUUCUCUUCCUUUUGCUAGCCUUUGUCUGGGAAUGGUGUCUUUCUGCCCCAAGGUACGGAGGCCAUUGCCGAUUCCUUGCCGUUACUAUUGCACUCUCAUUUAAGCGGUUGCUAAUCCCAGGAGCCACGCCCACCUGCCCAGCGCUCCCACAGCUUCUGUUUAGGUUGUCUCCGAAGUUACACAAACUGAUCUUCUUGAUUACCUGCUUUCACAGACACUGCCUGUCCAGGUCCCGGCAGCAGACGUAAGCCUCUAAGUGUGAGA
ensembl:lncRNA LOC120100890 uncharacterized LOC120100890